rnacentral:antisense_RNA from 1 species
UCUGAAUAUAACUAACUUCCUUCCUUCCUUCCUUUCUUCCUUCCUUCCAUCCUUCCUCCCUCCCUCCCUCCCUGCUUUCCCUUCCUCCCUGCCUUCCUUCUUCCUUCCUCUCUUUUUUCUUUUCUCCCUUCCUUCCUUCUUAAUAUGUUUUUGGCCUUUUCUUUAUAUAUGUGGCCUAUCAAUAUCAUGUGUUUGGAAAAGCAUAAACUUAAGGCAUCACCUUUACAGAAAAUAUCUUCCAUGGAAACAUCUAAAGGCAAAAAUCCUUCAAAUUCAAAUUUAUCCAAUCAUUUCUUCUGCUUACUACCAUCCUAAAUCAUUUUUCUUUAGUAAGAUCUAUUAGUGUGAAGCUAUUAAGCUAUUAAUGUAAGUAUCAUAUUAAUGUAUUAAGAUAUUAAGUGAGGAAGUAAAGUUGCAUUCAUAGGCCUUGAACUUUUCCACAUCUCGAUUUUUACCCAUCAUCUCUGCAUAUUUUCCUAAGGCAGCCUUCAAAUGGUGAUGUUUCCUGUCAUCCAGAGUUCAGAAGUGCCUUCUCUUCAACCUUUCUGUGGAAUUCUAAACCACGUGAUAAAGGAGCUGGUGGCCACAGAUCAGCCCUGGGGUUCAGAGGGAUCCUGACGGCUACUCCUCAAGAUCCUCUCUGUUGUGAUUCAUCCCCCCCAGGCCCUACAGUUUCUCCUUCCUGACUCUUACAUUUCUUUGGAUGGCAUCACUAUUGCUGGAGUGCAGUGGUGUGAUCUCAGCUCACUGCAACCCCUGCCUCCUGGAUUCAAGCAAUUCUCCUGCCUCAGCCUCCCAAGUAGCUGGGAUUGCAGUACCUGUCUCCUCCCAUAGUUAGUUGCCAAGCACUGUGGAUUCUACCCCUCAGGGUCCAGACACCCAUUU